AAGCACUGCAAAAGAGGAAGCUAUAAUGAGAAAGUAAAACUGAGGAAGGAGACUCCUACUCCUGCCCAAACAUGAGGAUAAAACACUAUUUUCCUCUGUCCAUAAGCAUGUAAAAAUCGCCUCCUGCUGUAAGCUCGGCACGCUCGGCACCGGCUAAGCAGGGAGAAUCCCUGAAGGGGAAAGCACUCGCAAUGCCAGCGGCUGUACUGGAGUCAAAGGAGGGGGGUUCUGCGAUCCGGAGGACCCAUCCGGCAAGUUUUCAGCAACAUCUGGGGGCUGUGAGGAGAGAUGAAGUUCCACCACCCCAUCAAUCAAUUCUUGAUCUUUGGGGCAUACAGGCAAGCUCAGGACUCAUCACCAGUGCAACCACUGCAUCACUCUGGAAACGUCAAGAAGACAUCCCGAAGAAAAGAUCAGAAAAACACCUGAAUGCAAUCUAGUUACAUCACAGAUUCUUGCCCAAAUUGGAUGAUCACUGGUGCUACAUUCAUCUUACAGCCCUGAUCUGGAACCCUCAUACUUUCACUUGUUUUGUUGAGUGAAAGAAAACCUUCAAGGAAGGCACUUCAAUGAUGUAAGUGAAAUGGAAGGCACUAUUAUACACUCAACCAGAGAGUGCCCAUCACUGUUUUAAAGUAGAUUUGGUGAGUGUGUUCAGAAGUAGUGUAAAUGUAACACCACUGGUGGAUAAUAUUUUGAAUACUAACAUCUUGUAAACAAGUAUUUAAUUGCUUUAUUUAUGUACUUGCAUAUGAAUCAUACUGAUAAUAAAAGAAUUAUGGCCUAGCAGGCAUUAUUUUAGUACGAUCCUUGUAGAAUGGAAUGUUUAAACCACUCAACUUUCAAGCCAUACCAGUCCCAGAUGUCCAACUGGGAAACAACAGUAAAUGCAACGUUGCAUUGUUGUUUUAGCCCCAGGAUGCCAAGUAUCUUUCCAAAACAUGAUCUCUACUUAAAGUGAACAUUAAUUGGACAGACUUAUAUUGGUCCAAAGGAGCCCCGGUGGCGAAGUGCAUUAAAGCACUGAGCUGCAGACCGAAAGGUCCCAGGUUCAAACCCCGGGAGCGGCGUGAGCGGCCACUGUUCGCUCCAGCUCCUGCCAACCUAGCAGUUCGAAAACAUGCCAAUGUGAGUAGAUCAAUAGGUACCGCUCCGGCGGGAAGGUAACGGCGCUCCAUGCAGUCAUGCCGGCCACAUGACCUUGCCGGCCACAUGACCUAAGCUCUUCGGCUUAGAAAUGGAGAUGAGCACCAACCCCCGGAGUCAGACAUGACUGGACUUAAUGUCAGGGGGAACCUUUACCUUUACCUAUAUUGGUACAGAAAGUGAUGCUUUUGUUCAACAAACUUUUUCACCACUUUGCUCCUAUACUACCUAAAUAACAUUUGUUAAGAGGACAUGAUACAUCUGGUUUAACACCAUAUGACAUGGAAAAUUAUGAAGAAAAAAUCAGUUACUAUGCCUUUUAGUGUUACUGGAAUCAUGAAGCAAAUUGAAAUACUAGGUCAUCCUUGUAGUGGUAUAUCAAUUGACUCAAUUAGAUCUACCCACAAUCCUUUGAAUGGGAUUCUACAAGUAAAUCUUGAAGGAUGUGGAUUCUGGGCACAAUCCACAUCUGCAAUUUCUUGUGUUUCAAUUAACACUGGUAGGACUGAAGUUGUGGUUGUGUAAUAGGGACAAUUUGAGAUCCCUGUGACUUAUUCUUCUUCCUGACAUUUUUAACAUUUUCUACUCUAAAAGCCUAUCUACUAUUUAAAAAGGAGUCAGAUUUGCCUUUCUUUCUUCAGUUUGGACAAUGGGGGGCUAUAGGGUGGGUGCUUCUCACCUCUACCUCUUCUCAAUGCCUUUUUUGCUGGGUCCAUAACAGAGGCAGAUUUCUUUCCUUGCUUUUCUCCCUGCUUUCCCUUUCCAGGUUAAUUUCUCAUUUUUUCUCAUUUAUAUUUCCCUAUCUGUAUUUUUAUAGAUGAAGGCAUUUUAAAGAUCAGCAAUGAAAUUUACACCCCACAUACUACAAUAACCUCUCAAAUAAACAGAUUUUCUUCUUUUCUUCCUAAGCAUGUUCUCUUUAUGCAUAUUUAAAAGGAGAGGAAAAUAUUUGUUUAUUACAUGUCCCAAACUUUUAUCCUUGACUUAUCCAUAGGUCAAAGCAAAAUGUAUAGUUUCGGCCCCAAAAUCUGUCCUUGUUUUAUACACAUAGUCUAUUUGUAAAUUAGCAUUUAUGACAGUAAAGCCACAACGCAAAAAGGUGGGCUGAGUUAGGAACUAGCCUAAAAUUAUCAUUAGCUACUUACCAGAAAUAGAUUUUGUAUUUUUUACUGACAAUUCUUCGAUCCUUCCUGGACAAAUCAGAAAGAUAGAGGAACAUCUAGGAAAAAAAGAUGGAAACAUUCAUAUUUUGUGAUGGUUCAGAACAGAGUAAAUUAGCAGGCAAAAUAAAAGUCAGGGUGGUGGUGUGAAGGUGUCUGCUCCAGAAACCUUUAAGCUGUGACAAGAAGGUGUUAGAUGGACAAGUACCCACAUUUUUAAUUAUAUUAACAGUAAGUGCUCCAGAUGUAUAAAAGAGAAGAGUGUUAAAACUGAGGGGUGCUUCAUGGACUUCUUGGAUGGCUUUAUUUCAUCUGGCUGAUAGGUCUUGCAGCCACCUGUCUGCUGUAAUUCAGUUGCCAGGGAUAGUGGCCAAAGAGCCUCCUCAGACAACUACAGUAGCCUGCAGAAGAGAAGGCUGAGAGGAGACAUGAUAGCCAUGUACAAAUACGUGAAGGGAAGUCAUAGGGAGGAGGGAGCAAGCUUGUUUUCUGCGGCCCUGCAGACUAGGACACGGAACAAUGGCUUCAAACUACAGGAAAGGAGAUUCCACCUGAACAUCAGGAAGAACUUCGUCACUGUGAGAGCUGUUCGACAGUGGAACUCUCUCCCCCGGGCCGUGGUAGAGGCUCCUUCUUUGGAGGCUUUUAAACAGAAGCUGGAUGGCCAUCUGUCGGGGGUGCUUUGAAUGCGAUUUCCUGCUUCUGAGCAGGGGGUUGGACUGGAUGGCCCAUGAGGUCUCUUCCAACUCUACUAUUCUAUGAUUCUAUGAGUGCAGAGAGUGGGUGACAUAGAUGGGAAAUAUUCUUGAGGUGAAUAAUCUACCUUAGUGCGGAUGACAUUCUUGUCACUUUCAAUUUCAGGCAUGGUAUCAAAAUCACUUUCCUCUUCCACAGAGCUGUCUGUGUCCAAGUCACAAGGAGGUCUACGAUCCAGAGAUGAUAAUUGCUGUCCACCACUGGAGCCUGACUCAUCUGGAAAUAAUACAGAAAUAUCUGGAAUACAAGGAAAGCUUUCUGGAAAACUCUGAAGUGAAACACAUUAAAAUAUCAUGACAGAGAAGUGUCUGUGUGCUGUAUUACGGACCACAUGACAUGGGAGCAUGGGAGACCUCAUCAGUAGAUUGCUAUUGCUACUAUUAAGAAAACUGGCUUCUGCAGAACUGUUUUCAAGAAUUUGUGGCCUUUUACCCAUAGGGAGUUAGAAGCUGAAUGGCAAAGAGCACAUUCAAAGGUGGCAAGGGGCUUUUCAAGGCAGUAGGUAAGACAUAAUGGUCAACCAGUGAGUGGAAUGAGCCAGUGCAUCCACGUGCUCUUUCUAUCUAGCAGACCUGUCUCUUCAAACAGUGUGAUCCAUCUUCUGCUCCAACUGUCCUUAUGUGUUUAUUGCCAAUUAAAGCCAACCACUACUUUUAACUGUUAGAUUCCUAAUCCCCUUUUUCAUCUUAGAAAUUACAUUGUAUACACUGCUCUUUCCCACUAAUAGAAAGGUUCUUUAUAUCACAGCUUCUUAAACCAUAGACCCUGUCCCCAAAUGGGGUCCCUUUAGCUCAAUGUUGGGGUCAUGAAAAAAUGGCAGUAGUAAAAGGUUGCUGAAUAAUCACCACUUCAAGCUGAAAUAUUUUUCUCACACCAUCCAUCUAUCCACCCCUCCACCAGUCUCCCAUCCCAUACAAUCACUGCUUUUUCUGUGUAACCCAGAGUACAUUUUAUACACUGGUUCCUGUUUUACAUCCUAUCACAAUCCUUCCCUUGCUGUUGUAUAUUUGACACCAGCUCUCAAAAGCUGUUACUCAGCACAUCUACCAUCUGAACAGCCAACAGUGUCUAUAGAUUCCAGAAUUUCUGUACCAAUAGCUCCAUAGCUGCUUCCUUCUGGAGUGCUGGUAGCGAUGGGAUGAGAGGCAGCCACUGUCCCAGACCCUACAAUGAGAACAAACAGAGAAUAUUCUUCUAUUUUUAUCUGAUAGGUCAAAAGCUACCAGUGGUCAAAACAGACUGCUGCCACUUAAUAAUACCUUUAACAAUAACAACUUGAUUUUUUUACCCUGCCUACAUCUCCUCGAAGGGACUCGGGGCAUUUUACAUGUAGCACAAGGUGCCUAAAACAACGCAUAAAAUUAACACACAGUACAAUACAAAAUAAAACCACUAGUCUAUAAAACAACAAUUUUAACUCAGAACAGCACCAAUAACCUAUAGUGUAAUCUACCGUAACAAGAAGAAAGGAAAGGGAUAGUGUAAGCUGUAGCUAAGGAUUAAGGGAAUAGGUUAAAAGUGCUGUGCUGUAUCAUAAUUGUAGAUCAUUGGACUAGACAUUCUUAAAGGCUUGUCUAAACAUUCAAGUCUUGGAGAACUGUUAGGACUUGCAAAAGGAAUUAUACACGGGGAAUCAAGCAUGGGAACUUGCAGGGUGGCUGCAUGGUUAGGAAAUAAAAGAGCAAACUACUUUCCUAGUGUGGUGGAAAUAAUCCAGGCAUGGGCAAACUUUGGCCCUCCAUGUGUUUUGGACUUUAACUCUCAUAAUGCCUAACAGCCGGAAGCUUAAAAUAACUCAUUGGUUUGGUCACUAAGGUGCUCUUUUCCACUAAUGGGAAGGUUCUUCAUAUCACAGUUCAUUAAACUGUGGCCCCUGGCCCCAAAUGGGGUCCCCUUAGCUCAGUGUUGGGGUCAUAUUUUUAAACUAUUGUCGUGUUUUAUGAUUUAUUGUCAUUUUAAUUGUGUUGCUUUUGUUAAUCUUGUUAGUUGUUAUUUUAUGUUAAUUGGUGUUGUUUAUUGAUUUGUUGCAAAUUUUGUUGUAUUCCAUGUGUUUUGUGUUGCACUUUUGUUGUGCUAUUUUGUAAGUCACCCCAAGCCCCUCUUGGGAAAUUGUGGUGGGACAUUAAUAAAGUUAUUAUUAAUAUUACUAUUUAUGAAAAAAUGGCUGCAGUAAAAGGUUUCUGAAUCCCACAAAUCUAUUAGCAAUAACUUGCAGUGUUUAUAGUGGACUCUGCAGAAAUGGUUUCAGCUGUACUCCACAAAAAGGAAAAUCAGCCUGUUUAGCAAGCCUUGCAAAUGCUGAUUCAUUAUCAUUAAUGGUUUAUUUUUAUACCUAUUUUAUAUACUGAUAUACACGGGGUCAUGUGAAAAUUUAUCAGGCAGAAAGGGAUUGUGAGUGGAAAAAGUUUAAGAAGCCCUGCUCUAUAUGCACUGUAAUGUCCAAAAACAGAGCAAAGUCAAGCAUGUCAUUGAAUGCUACAACUCCAGUCCCAGCCUGCUCUUUGACGACAUAGUGUCUCUAUUGGAUAAAGUGAAGGAAAGUAACAUUCUUGUUUGCAAAGCUAAUCCAGGAGUUGGGCUAGCUACUCUCGGAGGAAAUUCUGAUGAGACACAACAGAAUAGGUAUGUGUAAAGAAGUAUGAAUUUUUAUUUACAGAUGCCAUGUUUAACUGUGUUUUAAAAAGGGUUAAUAUUUCAGUUACUCAGCACUCAGAGUUGGUUGCCAUGCAGAAGGGGGCGGAGCCAACUGGGUUAGCUGAAGAGAGAACAGAAUUUGGAGGGAAACUCAGUCAGUCAGUAAGUGUCUGUGGUCAGCAAACCACAGGGAAGUCUGAUUCUCAUUUGGAGGAUCAGGGUGGCUCAAAUGUGGGAUUUGACUCCAUUCUAAAAUAAGUUUGGUGACUUAUUUUAGGUAGUCUGUGCCCUGAUAAGGUACAGGGAAGUCUGAUUCUCAGUUGAGGGAAUCAGGGUGGCUCAAAAGUCGAAUUUGAGUCAAUUCUAAAAUAAGUUUGGUGACUUAUUUUAAGGUAAAAAUAAAAAACAGAUAGUUUGUGACUGAAAUUCACAGGGUGAAAGCAGUAUAGGAAGAAGUGGAGAAAGAAGUGACAUCUUAGGAAGUUUCAAUCACCUCAUUCUGUUAUUGCAAUUGUUAAGGAAAGUGCCUAAAUGAGAAUUGUAACUAUCAAGCUUGUGCCUAAAUAAACUUGUUAUUGUUCUCUCAAA